GACGAACGCUGGCGGCGUGCUUAACACAUGCAAGUCGAACGGAAAGGCCCUGCUUUUGUGGGGUGCUCGAGUGGCGAACGGGUGAGUAACACGUGAGUAACCUGCCCUUGACUUUGGGAUAACUUCAUGAAACUGGGGCUAAUACCGGAUAGGAGCUCCUGCUGCAUGGGGGGGGUUGGAAAGUUUCGGCGGUUGGGGUUGGACUCGCGGCUGCGCAGCUUGUUGGUGGGGUAGUGGCUUACCAAGGCUUUGCCGGGUAGCCGGCCUGAGAGGGUGAGCGGACACGUCGCGACUGAGAUACGGCCCGGCCUACUCCGGGACGCAACGGUGGAGAAUAUUGUACAGCGGGCGGAAGCAUGAUGUAGCAACGCCGCGUGCGGUAUAUCGGCCUUCGGGUAGUAAUCCGCUUUCGUCUGUGACGAAGCGUGAGUGACGGUAACGGGUGAAGAAGCACCGGCUAACUACGUG
rnacentral:rRNA from 1 species